GGAAAGGUUUUCUGCCAUGAGUGGCACACGGGUGAGGCCUCGCGCUUUGUCUGUGCGGAAUCGAUAUCAAGAGAUUUUGGAUAUUAAAAUAAAUUUUUUAAAAAUUA